CGGAGGGAUCAUUACUGAGUUUACGCUCUAUAACCCUUUGUGAACAUACCUAUAACUGUUGCUUCGGCGGGUAGGGUCUCCGCGACCCUCCCGGCCUCCCGCCUCCGGGCGGGUCGGCGCCCGCCGGAGGAUAACCAAACUCUGAUUUAACGACGUUUCUUCUGAGUGGUACAAGCAAAUAAUCAAAACUUUUAACAACGGAUCUCUUGGUUCUGGCAUCGAUGAAGAACGCAGCGAAAUGCGAUAAGUAAUGUGAAUUGCAGAAUUCAGUGAAUCAUCGAAUCUUUGAACGCACAUUGCGCCCGCCAGCAUUCUGGCGGGCAUGCCUGUUCGAGCGUCAUUUCAACCCUCAAGCUCUGCUUGGUGUUGGGGCCCUACAGCUGAUGUAGGCCCUCAAAGGUAGUGGCGGACCCUCCCGGAGCCUCCUUUGCGUAGUAACUUUACGUCUCGCACUGGGAUCCGGAGGGACUCUUGCCGUAAAACCCCCCAAUUUUCCAAAGGUUGACCUCGGAUCAGGUAGGAAUACCCGCUGAACUUAAGCAU
rnacentral:rRNA from 1 species